rnacentral:rRNA from 1 species
CCUACGGGAGGCAGCAGUGAGGAAUAUUGGUCAAUGGGCGAGAGCCUGAACCAGCCAAGUCGCGUGAAGGAUGACGGCCCUACGGGUUGUAAACUUCUUUUGUCAGGGAGCAAUUGGGUCCACGCGUGGGCUUAGCGAGAGUACCUGAAGAAAAAGCAUCGGCUAACUCCGUGCCAGCAGGCGCGGUAAUACGGAGGAUGCGAGCGUUAUCGGGAUUUAUUGGGUUAAAGGGGUGCGUAGGCGGAAUAUCAAGUCAGUGGUAAACAUUCGGGGCUCAACCCCGUCGUGCCGUUGAAACUGAUGAUCUUGAGUAGGCGAGAAGUAUGCGGAAUGCGUGGUGUAGCAGUGAAAUGCAUAGAUAUCACGCAGAACUCCGAUUGCGAAGGCAGCAUACCGGCGCCCAACUGACGCUGAAGCACGAAGGCGUGGGUAUCGAACAGGAUUAGAUACCCUGGUAGUC